rnacentral:lncRNA from 1 species
UUAAUUCUUAACUGUGAUGAAUCUGACCCCAAUGCUAAUUAAUCCAAGGUGACUUUUUUGGUUCUUUUUUUAUCCCCAGAUGGCACAAUAUUUGCAAAUUUGUAAGAUGACUAGCUGGAAUUAAGAGUAUAUUCUGUGACCAUUCACUAAAGGUUUUGUGGUGGCAUUUAUCAUAUGGGUCAUGGAUACAAAAGUAAAAGUCAAGGCUGUCCCAAUGACUAAGAGACACCAUAGGAACAUGUAGAGAUGGAUCUUGCAGAGACAGCCGCUUCCUUCUUGUUUGAUUAACACCUGGAAGAAUCUCAAAAUAGUUGAAAAAUUCCUUCUAUUUCUGGCCAAUUUAAGGUUCCAGUGGAUUAUAAACAGUGCAUUUUACCAGAAAGAAGACAUUAAUUUUCAUCCUUGGCAUUUCUAAUUAUCUCUGGAGUUGUUCUCCAUUCACAUUUGACAAGGGAUAUGACUGGCUUUCUGCUUCUCCUAUAUCCCAUCUCUGUUUUCAUUCGAUGACUUGGUGAGAAAAAAAAAAAACAAUAUAUUCCUCAUUUCUUAUUGAAAAAUAGAAAAGUGGGGUUGUGUCUGUACACU